rnacentral:rRNA from 1 species
AUUGAACGCUGGCGGCAGGCUUAACACAUGCAAGUCGAGCGGAGAUGAGGUGCUUGCACCUUAUCUUAGCGGCGGACGGGUGAGUAAUGCUUAGGAAUCUGCCUAUUAGUGGGGGACAACAUUCCGAAAGGAAUGCUAAUACCGCAUACGCCCUACGGGGGAAAGCAGGGGAUCUUCGGACCUUGCGCUAAUAGAUGAGCCUAAGUCGGAUUAGCUAGUUGGUGGGGUAAAGGCCUACCAAGGCGACGAUCUGUAGCGGGUCUGAGAGGAUGAUCCGCCACACUGGGACUGGGACACGGCCCAGACUCCUACGGGAGGCAGCAGUGGGGAAUAUUGGACAAUGGGCGGAAGCCUGAUCCAGCCAUGCCGCGUGUGUGAAGAAGGCCUUUUGGUUGUAAAGCACUUUAAGCGAGGAGGAGGCUACCUGGAUUAAUACUCUAGGAUAGUGGACGUUACUCGCAGAAGAAGCACCGGCUAAUUCCGUGCCAGCCGCCGCCAUAACAC